rnacentral:rRNA from 1 species
GUAGGUGGCAAGCGUUGUCCGGAAUUAUUGGGCGUAAAGCGCGCGCAGGCGGUUCUUUGAGUCUGAUGUGAAAGCCCACGGCUCAACCGUGGAGGGUCAUUGGAAACUGGAGAACUUGAGUACAGAAGAGGAAAGCGGAAUUCCACGUGUAGCGGUGAAAUGCGUAGAGAUGUGGAGGAACACCAGUGGCGAAGGCAGCUUUCUGGUCUGUAACUGACGCUGAGGCGCGAAAGCGUGGGGGAGCAAACAGGAUUAGAUACCCUGGUAGUCCACGCCGUAAACGAUGAGUGCUAAGUGUUAGGGGGUUUCCGCCCCUUAGUGCUGCAGCUAACGCAUUAAGCACUCCGCCCUGGGAGUACGGCCGCAAGGCUG